rnacentral:rRNA from 1 species
UACGAAGGGGGCUAGCGUUGCUCGGAAUCACUGGGUGUAAAGGGUGCGUAGGCGGGUCUUUUAAGUCAGGGGUGAAAUCCUGGAGCUCAACUCCAGAACUGCCUUUGAUACUGAAGAUCUUGAGUUCGGGAGAGGUGAGUGGAACUGCGAGUGUAGAGGUGAAAUUCGUAGAUAUUCGCAAGAACACCAGUGGCGAAGGCGGCUCACUGGCCCGAUACUGACGCUGAGGCACGAAAGCGUGGGGAGCGAACAGG